AGCUAUCACGCUGGUUGACACUUAAGUCACUUAGGCCAGGGCACAUGCCUACCGCUUCAUCUCCCCAGCCCCAUGCAGAGCGCUGGGUCAUACAUCCCAGUGUGCCCUGAGUGGUCCCAGGGUGAGGUGAUUUCUUUUGUGUGCCCGGUCCUUUAAAGGAUCUCCAGUCGCUAGUCAGCUGGCCCUUUAAGAGAACUGCUUGACCUUCAGUGUCAUUGCCUCUUAGACUUCUGGGAACAGGAGAGGACAUGAAAACCCAGCAAAGGCUGAGAAAGGAAGACUAGGUUCCAGGUGGCAGAAGAAUAAAGCCAGAGAAGACAGUUGAUGCAGGAAGAAGAAGGACUGGAUAGGGCUAGAGGAGAGAAGACAGUCUGAGAAGAGAGACUGAGCAGAGUGGACAUAGGAGACUGUUGAGCCUGGAGAAGCUGAGCUGAGCAGAAGGUGGUCUGCAGGAUCUCUGCCACCUAUGGAGGGUUCAUGACACCCUUGUCACUAGGCUGUCUGCUCUCUGGUGUCAUAGGCUCUACCCCUCAGAGCUCUGGGGGUCUGCAGUCAAAAGGAACUCGGCUGCCUCAUCUCCCGUCUGUGCAGAUGUGGGUUUCCUUGUGGAUGUGAGGCCCAUGUUGGCCUUUCCAGUUCCCAUUCUCCGGCCCUAACUACUGAGGCUCUGAGCACCUUGGGGUUGAGUUUCUCUUCUGGCCUCAGGUCAUCCCUGCGUCUGGCUGGAACCUGAGCAGGACUGUGUCCCUGGUGCCCUAAAGCUGGCUGAUCAAAUAUCCAUCUGACUCUGGAAUUUGUCAUAAUGACUUGAAGUCUGUAGUCCAACUGCCCCAACAAUGGACAGCCGUGAAUGGGAAGUCCAAGAGUCUAGAAGUUGCUCAGUCCCACGAGGCUAGCAGUUUCAGCUGUUCCUCCGUAGAAGUUGGUUCCAGCAGAGGUGCUGGUGAGUAAAUGCAAGCAGGUGAAAAAGAGCAAAUCUUCCUUUUUCCAUCAUCCUUAUGUAGGCCUCCAGCAGAAGGUGCAGCCCAGAUUAAAGGUGGGCACCACCAUGCCUGGAUCUGAAACUUGCUUUGUCUCAAAUUGGCCUUGAACCCAGAGAUCUCCUUACCCCAACCUCCUGGGACUAAAUGCAUGUAUUACCUUGUCUGGGCCUAAGCUUUUCACGGCCACUAUGCCUCAUGAUCUCCAUUUCAAGAUCCAGGCCAGAUGCCUGUGUCUUUCCAGCCUCAAGAUCUGGAUCACAGGUGAGCCCUCCAAUUCUGGAUUGUAGUUCAUUCCAGAUGUAGUCAAGUUGACAACCAGGAAGAGCCGUCACGGGGUCAUCAGAGGUCUCAACAGAAGUCAGGCUUCGAGACAGCAUUUUAAAGGAUCAGUGUUUCCUCCUGCCUUGGUGUCUCUGUCAUUGUAAAUGAACUACUGGACCUGGCAGUAGCAAACCCGGGUUUGAAUCCGGGGGCCGCCUCAUACCUGCUGUAUAGCCUGGGCACCCAUGCCUUUCCCAACCCAAUGUCCCUACUGUGAAGCCAGGAACUGUGAAACUCAUCAUUGGCUUAUGAAUCAGGUGGGGUGCACUGAAUGUGCGGGUGCCCUGUCAACAUGGCUAUCCUGCCUGCUGACCUGCAACAUCCAACCAAAGGUCCCCCUUUGUAUGUGCCCUGGCAAUGGGUACCACAUGCUUAGCCUUGAAACCCCUGUCCAACACACCAACAAAAGACCAGCCCAGGAAAGAACUGGGGUCCCUUCAUGGCUACAAGCAGCCUCUGACUUCUACAGAGGGUCAGACAGCCAUGCUCAAAAGGAGCAGCAGCAGUUUGGAAAAAUGUCCCAGGUGAAGCAACAGGUCUAAGGGUCAUCCUGUCACCCCGGGCAACACCCCAGGGACCACACUAUGUGGGAAACCACAGGCAUCCUGCUGAGCCAGGAGGUGGCUCAGGAGAGCUCAUCUCUGGCAGUGAGGAUGGUUAGAGACAGCAGAUCAAUCAUUUUUGUCUGUUUUUCUUCUCUGUGUAUGUACAAAAAAGAGAUAAUAAAAUCUCCCAGUAAAAUUAAGUGUUCCCAAUAAGGAUUCUAAAAGCGGUAUGUGAGGGUUUAAUAGGCUGUUUUGUUUUCGUUUUUUCCUUCGGUGGCCCAUCGCAUGACAGCCGACAGUAGAGAUUGGAUGGAAUGUAGUAUUCAUUCCAGACCCAGAUCUGACUUAAAAAGUUCAGCUCAGCUGUUCAACAGCCCUGUGAACUUGACUGCAGCAUCGCUUAAUCCCUUUGAGUGUCAGUUUCCUCAUCGACCUUGGGGUAAGGGGAGAAUAGGGCUCUUUGAAUUCUAGGUGAAAACGCAAAACAACUCAAACUGGCUCAAGCUAAAGAAAGGGUCAAAGCACAUCUCCUUCCAACCGCAGGUUCCAGAUGCCAUUUUUCCUAGGCUUCAGUGGUGUUUCCAGAUCUCAGAGCUCACUGCCAGAUCCCAGCCUCUCUGGGCUGGUCUGCCAUUCCUGUGCUCUGAUUGGAUACCAGGCCCCACCAUGAGCCAAUCCUCAUUGCCAGGAAAUGGCUGGAACCUGAUUGGUCAGAUCUGCCAAGGCGCUGAGGGUGGAGUCAGUUCCACCAUCUUGAAGUCUUCACAGCCAAAAGUUGGUGGGUGCUCCCUAGGGUGCCCAAACCCAACCUCAUAGAUCACCACGCCUGCUCCCAUAUAGAGAAGUUUGUGCGUGCUGGUAACAGGGGUUGCCAUAUAGUGGGGCUCUGUCGGGUCAGUCUUCCUUUCCUCACAUUGGGGGCGAUCUGUUCUUUGGGACUCACCAGGGGCUGGUCACAUGGGUGUGUAGGUAUAGAGGUGAGGUGAGGAGGGGUGUGGGCAUUCAGAAGGGGUGUCCUACAAGUAAUAGCCUGUUCCCAGAAAGAGGGGUUCAGACUUUGUUUCCUAGGCAGACUGUGCACAACUCUCGUGGGAAGGGCGUAGAGGAAACAUCUGGAUGGCGUCACUGCGGACUCUGCAGGUGGGGGAGUUAGCACUCAACUUCCUUUUCUGGGAUAAGCACCUGUGUGGAAUGGAAGUCAGCGCUUGGAGGUACUUGUGAGACCCACGGAGCAUGUGUCCUAAGAACCGCCUGAGCUUCUUCUAGAUGGAAUUCUCUCCUAAAACCUUUGCUACAAACAUCCAAACGUAUGGCGUUAGAGCAGGUGGUGGUCAGACAGCUGAGAGGAAGAGCUUGGAAACGGGGGCUGCUGGCGGGAUAAGGGAUCAUCACACCGGGCUCACUAAGGAGGCAGAGGCCUUUCUGAGUGGGUACAGAGAACUCGGUGCAGAACGUUCCUUAUCCGCUCAGCAAGGUCCUCUGCCGUUUCCCUCCCACCUCUGGACCCCUAUCCAGACAUUAACCAGCUACAAAGGGAUCAACUUCUACAGUGCUAUUUGUGGCUUUCAUGGCCCACGUGGGUCUCCUACUUGGUACAGAGGAUGCCUUUGUGUACCAGGAGGGCCAGCAGAGGAGGCCGGCCCCUCCUGCCAUUUAAUCCCAGCCCACAGCAUCAGCUGCCUUUGCAGGGACAAUUCCUUUCCUUUCCAAAUAGGGACUCAAAAGCUGUCCGUGUUUCUUGCUGCUCCCAUACCUUCAGAGCUGUGGUGUGUGUGUGGGGCAGCUGAUGUUCUUCCCUGCCCCAGGAAACCAUUCUACGGGAACAGGAAGCACACGGGAAAUGGGGAUUGGGUUUACCUCGAGAGACCCACACUUCUUUUAGUUGAUCUGGUGACUGACACAAGUUGGCACAGUGGCUGGCCCCACAGGACCCCAGCAGGCAAAGGCUGACCAAUUACGGUGGACUGGGCGCUACUCACGUUAUAAAGGUGCUCGGACUUCGACGGACAGACAUAAUUAGAGGAGGAUGUUUGCACCCAAGCCACCUUCCUCGCGCGUACUGCAGAUGGAAGAGUAUAUGGCUGUCUCGGAGGAAGAUGAGUCCCAAUCAUCCUGUACAAGCUACUGUUGGCUGCCCCAUCCUUUCCGUAUCUUGCCUUCUAUAUCUCCUUGGCCUUCUGCCUUUUCUUGGUUUCUGGGUCCUCACCCUUGCGCACCACUUCGCUGGGUGGACUCUGCAUAUCCGAGAGUGUAUCGUAUUGUUAGCACCUGUGCCACACCUGCCAGGUGCUCAUUGGCUGGCACUGACCGGCUCAGCAGUGAAGGUUUGGGGGUGACACUGUGCCACAAUGUUCCAGUGGCCUUAGAGAGGGCACCCACCCCUGCCCCUCUCCUUUUGGGAAGGCUGCAGGCCAGAUCAUGGCAGGAAGGUUUCUUAAAGCCGCCUUGAGUGUCUGGGAGACAGUGCAACCAAGAGGUGCUUUUUCUGAAAAUUCAAGGACCUGGGUUUGAACCUCAGAGACCUAUGAGAAAAAAAAAACAGCCAGGGUGUGUGGUUCUAAUCCCAGAGCUGGGGAGGUGGAGACAGGAGGAUGCCUAAGACUUGCUGGUAAGCCAGUCUAGCCUACUUGGCAAGUGACAGACUGUAACUUUAACUUAUUUUUAAACCUCAUUUUUAGCUAUGGUUCUUUAGUGCCUUAACUUCCCUGGUGGUCCAUGAUCCACCAGAGAUAGUGGGAAAGAAAGGAUGGGAGGGGGAGUGGACCUGUUUAGAAAGGUUCUUUGGAGCAACUCCUGUCUGUGUUGUCUGGAAAUCAAUUCAGUUCACAGGUCAGCAAUGGCAGCUCCAUCCACUGGAAAACACCUCACAGAUACACCAGCAGUCCAGUUCUGUAGAGUCAGGUGAGCAACAGUGGUGACACGAUCUGGCAGAGACAACCAGGCCUCAGCCUCGGCACCAGUCAGCAGGAGGGACCAACAGGAACACCAGGAGAAGUUCUAGGCGGUGCCUCUCUCAGGGAUGCGAAGAUCAGGGAAGACUGGAGACCCACAGGAAUUGCACGUCUAGCUGUACCAGCAAGCCAUGCUCAGCCGCUGUCACUGUCUGUUGAGUCCUAUUUAUAAUCUCCAAAGGUCACGUGUCCUCCACGUGCAUCCAAUCUGCCUGAGUCCACAGAAGCGGCAACAAACUGCAGCUCACCACCAGAGAUUUUUUUGGUGCAUUUCUCUCUAUGGAGUCCCAACAAGUGCAGCUCAACCAUGUAAGGCAGACCAGUACAUGUGUGUUGUUAGCAAAGAAAUCCUUCAUCACGUGUCCUUUCACACGCUUGCUUUAGCAGAACAUCCUCUCUCUCUUGUGUCUGCUUCAGAAAAGCAUCCCUUCAUAACUCUGCCUUAGCCUUUCACACCUGUAUCCACUUUAAUGAAGCACUUCACGUGUUUGCCACGGCAAAAACACCAUCCAACUGACUUCCCAAAGAACCCUUAAGUCCCCACUUCAACAGAUCAAUGUGAGACCUGUCUUAGGAAACAGUGUGGGUAUCAUCCCAAGAGAGCACUGCCUGAGGUUGGCCUUUGGCCUCUAUAUGUAAAUGCACACACACACACACACACACACACACACACACACACACACACACAGAGAGAGAGAGACAGAGACAGAGACAGAGAGACAGAGACAGAGAGACAGAGACAGAGAGAGAUACAGAGACACAGAGACACACACAGAGACAGAGACAGAGAGACAGACAGAGAGACAGAGAGACUGAGAAACUGUCUCAUACAGAGACAGAGACAUAGGGAGAGAGUUAUGUACACACAUACACACACACAUACAAAAACAAAAUCAAUAAAACCUUGCAUUGAUUGAAUGCAUCAGAAUGUUAGCCACAACUUCUGGCUAGAGUGGAGACCUGCAACUUCUGAUGGGUAAUAACUCCUGUCUCAUCUCUUCCUCUAGGUCAUGACCACAUGGGCACAUUCACUUGCCAAAAUCCUUUAAAAUGUUAAACGUUCCACAACUCCAACAGACGCAUGGAUGUCUAUAAAUACCUGUGGAAUGACGUAUGGAGGACAGCGAGGUUCCUCACAAUCAACCUUAUGUUGCUAUAGCAAUGCCGUGGACUGGUAAUUUAUGAAAUGAAACACUUCCAACAGCUCUGGCAGCUGCUAGAGCCAAGGCUGAAGGAUGGCUCUUUCUUUGAGGCAGGGUCUUGGUAGGUAGUCCUUGAUGACCUCAACUUAGUGUCUCAGUUAGGGUUUUAUUGCUGUGAACAGACACCAUGACCAAGGCAACUCUUAUAAAGACAACAUUUAAUUGGAACUGGCUUACAGCUUCAGAGGUUCAGUCCAUUAUCAUCAAGGCAGGAGCAUGGCAGCAUCCAGGCAGGCAUGGUGCAGGAGGAGCUGAGAGUUCUACGUCUUCAUCUGAAGGCUGCUAGCAGAAUACUGAUUGCUAGGCAGCUAGUAGAAGGGUUUUGAAGCCCACACCCACAGUGAUGCCUCUACUCCAACAAGGCCACACCUAGUCCAACAAGGCCACACCCCCUCCAACAAGGCCACACCCUCUCCAACAAGGCCACACCUAUUCCAACAAGGCCACACCUCCAAAUAGUGCCACUUCCUGGGCCAAGCAUAUUCAGACCAUGACACUUAGGAUCUUCCUCCCUCAGCCUCUCAACUGCUGGGACGACAGGCAUGUGAUGCCCGCUGGGUGUGCUGGUUAGUUUUAGUUUCGUUUAGUUUCAUUUAGUUUUUGUCAAGUUGACACAUGCCAGGGUUACCUGGCAAGAGAGAACUUCAGUUGAGGACAUCCUCCAUUGGAUUGGCCUAUGGACAAGACUCUAGGGCAUUUGCUUCAUCAAUGAUGGAUAUGGGAGAGCCCAGAUCACUACAGAUGAUGCCACCCCUGGGCAGGUGGUCCUGGGGUCCUGCUCAGGGCCCACUGAGCAGGCCAAUAAGCAGCACCCCUCCAUGGUCUCUACUUCACUUCUCACCUCCAGGUUGCUGUGUGAGUUCCUGCCUUGGCUUCCCUCCAUGAUAAACUAUGAUGUGGAAGUAAAAACUAAACUUUUCCUCCAAGGUUGCUUUGGUGCCAGUGUUCAACACAGCAGGGGGAGGCAAGCCUGGACGGAUGGCCAUGAUAGAGGCUUCUGUAGAAAGUAAACCAUGACAGUUUCUACAGGAAGUGAACCAUGAUGGAUGGCCACAAUAGAGGCUUCUGUAGGAAGUAAGCCAUGACGGAUGGCAGCGAUAGAGGCUUCUUUCUGUGUCACUGCUUCUCGUCACGGUGGAGGAGGCCACCACAAGGCUGGAGAAAUGUGUCCUCUCAUCUCUAUUCCCCUACUAUUAACCCCUGGUCCCAUCAUGGACCCUAACCCAACCGCCUGGCCUUCUCUAGCCCCCAUUACCUCCAGAUAGCAUCAACAUUCGAAUGUGGGGACUAAGCUUUCUAUAUGUAAGCGUUGGGGACACAUUCAGGUCACAGCACUGAUGGUGACGAUUCUAUUAGCAAUUUGACACCAUAACAAAAAACCACACGCAGAAAACCACAGCAAGCACCACUUAGCUGAGCGCACUCAGUGCAGGCAUCCAGCUCGCCCUCCUUCUUGACUGACUGCAGGUGCAGUGUGAUUGGCUACCUGAAGUGCCUGCUGCUGUAUCUUCCCCACAGUGAUGGAUGACGUUCAAACCAAAAUAAACCCUUUCCACCUUCACGGGGCUCUGUGCCAGGUCUUUGGUCACGGCCACAGAAACAUGUUUUGUGUAAUUUUAAAAGGCCGUUUUUAAUGGCCAGGCACUUUGAAGCCUCCUGUGGCUAAUGUGCCCUUAUCCUCACUCCUUGCUGAACGUCUCUGAAUCUGUCCUCACCUUAGCUAUGUUUCUAAUCUCCUGCCUGCUCCCCAGACCCAGAUGGGGAGGCGGCCAAUGGCCAUUCCACCCGGGUUCUCGCAUGGCUGGUAGCUCUUUCUCCCUCCAAAGCAUGAAUCCUUUUCCUCCUUUCCUGCAUCUUCUAGUAUGCCUGCGGUAAACUGGAAGUCUUGUCUUGUCGCGCGCCCAACGUCUCGCCAGCAUAAACGACACGUGGCAACAGGAUUCUUCUGCGAACAAGCCUUCACUGUACAGCUCUCUUGAACAGGGACAGGGGACCACGAGCGGCAAAGUCGCUCGCCUUAUAUACACAACAGUAUGCUAAUAACCUCUCAGGGAUUGGUGGGGCACGGGUCACUCCACUACCACCCCACUAUCACCCCCACCAGCAUGGUACCGCCCCCCUCAUUAGCAUAUUACCGGCCAACUGACACCAGGUGCAAAACCUGCGCAUGCGCAGUACCGUUGUUCACCACUGGAGGGGGCGCCCUACAUUGUCUUUUCUGCCCAGACGUUGGCCUCUAGCACCUUUAUUGAUUGAUCAAGAACCAAUUAGGGAACAGGACCUUUGGCGUUCAUUCAGAGCAUUCUUCAGAUCAGAGUGUCAAAACCACCCCCUACAGGUGUGGCCUUGUUAGAGGAGUCCUGUCAUUGGAGGUGGACUUUGAGGUUUCAAAAGUAGAUAUCCCAGUGUCUGCCUGUGGAUCAGAUUGGCUUUCAGCUACUGCUUCAGUCCCAUGCUUGCCUGCUAAAGGAACAUGGGGGGUGAUUCAUGGACUCUAAACCUCUGGAACCAUAAGCCCAAAUAAAACAUUUUCUUUUCUAAGUUGCCUUAUAAGUUGCUUUGGACAUGAUGUUCUGCCAUGGCAAUAGAAGAGUAGCUAAGACCCUCCCCCCUCAGCGCUCACAACCCUUUAGACUCUUGGAUUUGUAUUUCUGGCCCCAGAGACCCUGAGGGAAUCAAUUUCUGAUGUCUUAAGUUUCUACUGUGUCUGGGGUGGAACCAAUAUGGUGGCCUGGAUCUGUACUUUAUUUUGGUUAGUUUUUUUUUUUUAAUCAGUUUGACAUAAGUUAGAGAGUCAUUUGGGAAGAAGAAACCUUAGCAGGAAAAUGCCCCCACCACAGUGGCCUAUGGGCACUUUCUUGAUUCAUGAUUGAUGUGGGUAGGGCCAUCCUACUGUGGGCGGUACCUACUCUGGGCAAGUGGCCUUAGAAUGUGUAAGAAAACCAGCUGAGCAGGCCAUGAGACCAAGCCAGUGAGCUGCAUUCCUUCAUGGCUUCUGCUAUAGCUCCUGCCUCUGGGUCCCUGUCUUGAGUUCCUGCCCCAAGGUCUUUCGAGGACAGACUAUGAUGGGAAACUGUGACCAAAAUAAACCUUUCCUCAAAUUG